rnacentral:rRNA from 1 species
CGGAGGGGUUAGCGUUGUUCGGAAUGACUGGGGCGUAAAGCGCGCGUAGGCGGAUCAUGCAAGUCGGGGGUGAAAUCCCGGGGCUCAACCCCGGAAUGGCCUUCGAGACUGCUGGUCUUGAGUUCGAGAGAGGUGAGUGGAAUUCCGAGUGUAGAGGUGAAAUUCGUAGAUAUUCGGAGGAACACCAGUGGCGAAGGCGGCUCACUGGCUCGACACUGACGCUGAGGUGCGAAAGCGUGGGGGAGCAAACAGGAUU